UACGAAGGGGGCUAGCGUUGUUCGGAAUUACUGGGCGUAAAGGGCGCGUAGGCGGUACUUCAAGUCAGGCGUGAAAGCCCCGGGCUCAACCUGGGAACCGCGCUUGAGACUGGAGAACUAGAGUUCGGGAGAGGAUGGUGGAAUUCCCAGUGUAGAGGUGAAAUUCGUAGAUAUUGGGAAGAACACCGGUGGCGAAGGCGGCGAGCUGGUCCAUUACUGACGCUGAGGCGCGACAGCGUGGGGAGCAAACAGG
rnacentral:rRNA from 1 species